GGAUUCCCCUAGUAACUGCGAGUGAAGCGGGAAAAGCUCAAAUUUAAAAUCUGGUAGUCUUUGGCUAUCCGAGUUGUAAUCUAGAGAAGCGUUAUCCGCGCUGGACCGUGUAUAAGUCUCCUGGAACGGAGCGUCAUAGAGGGUGAGAAUCCCGUCUUUGACACGGACUCCCAGGGCUUUGUGAUGUGCUCUCAAAGAGUCGAGUUGUUUGGGAAUGCAGCUCUAAAUGGGUGGUAAAUUCCAUCUAAAGCUAAAUAUUGGCGAGAGACCGAUAGCGAACAAGUACCGUGAGGGAAAGAUGAAAAGAACUUUGGAAAGAGAGUUAAACAGUACGUGAAAUUGUUGAAAGGGAAACGCUUGAAGUCAGUCGCAUUGAUCAGGGAUCAACCUUGCUUUUUUGCUUGGUGUACUUCCUGGUUCAUGGGUCAGCAUCAAUUUUGACCAGUGGAAAAAGAUUAAGGGAAUGUGGCAUCUUCGGAUGUGUUAUAGCCUUUGGUCGCAUACAUUGGUUGGGAUUGAGGAACUCAGCACGCCGCAAGGCCGGGUUUUUAACCACGUUCGUGCUUAGGAUGCUGGCAUAAUGGCUUUAAUCGACCCGUCUUGAAACACGGACCAAGGAGUCUAACAUGCCUGCGAGUGUUUGGGUGGAAAACCCAAGCGCGUAAUGAAAGUGAAAGUUGGGAUGCCUGUCGUGGGGAGCACCGAUGCCCGGACCAGACCUUCUGUGACGGAUCCGCGG
rnacentral:rRNA from 1 species